rnacentral:rRNA from 1 species
GGACGUGGAUACCCCCGAGAAAUUGGGGUUAAUCCGCGAUAGAUGUAAUGUCCUGGAAUGGUAUUACGUCUAAAGGUAUUUCAUACAUGUUUGAAAUAUGCCUAAGGAUGGGGCUGCGGCCGAUCAGGCUGUUGGUGAGGUAAUGGCUCACCAAACCUUUGACCGGUACGGGCCAUGAGAGUGGUAGCCCGGAGAUAGACACUGAGACAAGGGUCCAGGCCCUAAGGGGCGCAGCAACCGCGAAACCUCCACAAUGCACUCACGUGCGAUGGGGCUAUCUCGAGUGCCACCUGAUGAAGGUGGCUUUUCCUUGGUCUAAAAGCCUUGGGAAUAAGAGGGGGGCAAGGCUGGUGUCAGCCGCCGCGGUAACACCAGCCCCUCGAGUGGUGGGGAUGAUUAUUUGGCCUAAAGCGUCCGUAGCCGGCCGAGCAAGUCUUCCGUUAAAUCCAGCGUCUCAAGCGUUGGACCGCGGGAGAUACUACACGGCUAGAGAGUGGGAGAGAUCAGCGGUAUUCUGGGGGUAGGGGCGAAAUCCUUUGAUCCCCGGAGGACCACCAGUGGCGAAGGCUGCUGACUAGAACACGUCUGACGGUCAGGGACGAAAGCUGGGGUAGCGAACCGGAUUAGAUACCCGGGUAGUCCCAGCCGUAAACGAUGCAUGCUAGGUGUUGGGUUGGCCACGAGCCACCCCAGUGCCGCAGGGAAGCCGCUAAGCAUGCCGCCUGGGAAGUACGAUCGCAAGAUUGAAACUUAAAGGAAUUGGCGGGGGAGCACCACCAGGCGUGAAGCCUGCGGUUUAAUUGGAGUCAACGCCGGGAACCUUACCGGGAGCGACAGCAGAAUGAAGGCCAGAUUGAAGAUCUUGCCAGACGAGCUGAGAGGAGGUGCAUGGCCGUCGCCAGUUCGUGCCGUGAGGUGUUCUCUUAAGUGAGAUAACGAACGAGACCCGUGCCACAUGUUGCCACCAGUAUCUAAAGGAUAGCUGAGCACUCUUGUGGGACCGCAGCCGAUAAGGCUGAGGAAGGUACGGGCAACGGCAGGUCAGUAUGCCCCGAAUCUCCCGGGCCACACGCGGGCUGCAAUGGUACAGACAGAGGGCUGCCACCCCGAAAGGGGGAGCCAAUCCCUAAACUGUACCUCAGUUGGGAUCGAGGGUUGCAACCCACCCUCGUGAACAUGGAAUGCCUAGUAACCGCCAGUCAUCAUCUGGCGGUGAAUACGUCCCUGCUCCUUGCACACACUGCCCGUCGAACCACCCGAAUGAGGUUUGGGUGAGGAAUGGUCGAAUGUUGGCCGUUUCGAACCUGGGCCUCGUAAGGAGGGUUAAGUCGUAACAAGGUG